rnacentral:rRNA from 1 species
GACGAACCGUGCGAACGUUGUUCGGAAUUACUGGGCGUAAAGGGCUCGUAGGUGGCCAACUAAGUCAGACGUGAAAUCCCUCGGCUUAACCGGGGAACUGCGUCUGAUACUGGAUGGCUUGAGUUUGGGAGAGGGACGCGGAAUUCCAGGUGUAGCGGUGAAAUGCGUAGAUAUCUGGAGGAACACCGGUGGCGAAGGCGGCGUCCUGGACCAACACUGACACUGAGGAGCGAAAGCCAGGGGAGCAAACGGG